rnacentral:rRNA from 1 species
AAACUUUCAACAACGGAUCUCUUGGUUCUGGCACCGAUGAAGAACGCAGCGAAAUGCGAUAAGUAAUGUGAAUUGCAGAAUUCAGUGAAUCAUCGAAUCUUUGAACGCACAUUGCGCCCCUUGGUAUUCCGGGGGGCAUGCCUGUUCGAGCGUCAUUU